rnacentral:misc_RNA from 1 species
CCGUCGGGCCUCGUGUAGUUUUGAUUUUUUAUUUUUUGUACUUCCGCGCUCUCGCCGCACGCGCUGGAGCCAUUCGAACUUUUGUUUCCACCCCUCUUCUUUUUUUUUUGUGUGUCUCUCCCGGUCUGCGCCCCGUUUCUUGUGCGCAGCUUCCACGUCGCUCCUCCCCUCCCUUUCUCCCCCGAAAAAGGUGCUGUGCACCCAAUCAGAAGGACAUAGAACCCGCGCACGCGAACACACACACACACACACACACACACACACACAAACACAUACGCACACGCGUGAGCAUCGUUGCUCGCCGUGUCUCUCGCGUGCAUCGCACACGAUAGGUACGCAGGAAAAUCGAAGCAGCUGUAGCACCCUGCCCACCCUCCUUAUCUCACCUUCUCCCCUCCCCCUUCUCCAGCAAAGCAUACAAAAGAAUGGCAAUGCCAGAUGCAGCGCCGGCGACGUCGCCGGCGCUCGUGAUGACGGAGGCAGAACUGCGGAAGGCGCUGCAGCCGGCCCCUCUCCAUAAAGUAAAGAACUUCUCUGGCGCGACCAUCGCAGCCGACUGCUCUACUGCGGUCGCCGUUGCCCUCACGGCGGCUAUUCCGAUCUCUAUAAUCGACUACAGUAUAAUGGCGCGGGUGGCCGGUGUUUCCCCGAGUAGCACGCAGGAGCUCUUCAAGGGUGUCACGACGGUGCUCUUCCGCCCUCACAAGUUUUUCUUCCCAUGCGCGGAGAACAAGUGCAGCCUGGUGUACCGCGUUUGCGCCACAACGUACGGCUUUACGUACAUAGGCUCCAACCUGGCAAAGAGCUACUGCGAAUCGCACGGUAUGGAGAAGGAUGCAAAUCUGGCCGCAGGCAUUGUGAGUGGUGUGAUGAACACUGUCUUCACAAUUUGGAAAGAUAGCAUCAUCUUGCGCGCUCUGCCACCGGUCAAUCCGAAAGACCUGUCCAGCGCGAAGAAGCCAGUGCCGUUCUUGACGCGCGCCCUUUUCUGCGGGCGUGACACGCUUACGUGCGUGGCCGCCUUCACGUUCGUGCCCAUUGUCGCGUCGUGGAUCUCGGGCUACGCGUACCACCAGAAGCGGCUGCCGCAGGCCUCAGACGCAAUUCUUCCCGAAAACGAGGGAAAGGUGCGCCUGCCCAUUUCAUGCGUCGACACAGCGCAGAUGUUGACGCCGGCGCUUCUGCAGUUCGUGACGACGCUCAUGCACAUCACAGCUAUUCGAUACCGUCAGAUGUACCCGCACUUUUCGCUGAAAGAUCUGUCCGACAGCAUGCGGAGCACGUACAUCUCCUCGACGCUUCUGCGCAUCUGUCGUAUUAUGCCAGCCUUUGGCAUCGGUGGUAUCAUGAAUCGCGAACUGCGCUCCUCGUUGCUGGACAAAGCAGACCCGCUCGAGCGGCCGACCGUGGCGUAAAUCUUUUCGAGGACGUGCGAGCAAAGGGGCGUGUCUGUCUGUCUGUCUGUCUGUGUGUGCAUGCGUAUGCAUAUGCGGGUGCCUGUUGGUCUUCGCGUGCGCUUCAGUGAAAUGCAGUCGAAGCGUUUUUCCUCCACCUUUUUUUCCUGCGUGCGCCUCGUCGAGUCUGCGCGCGAUUCCUUACCGCUCACAUUAUAUGCUGAAGAGCAUUUUACUCCCAUCUAUUCUCUCUGGUGCUUCCCCUCCGGCACGCAAGCGUGUACAGGUCUGUGUGCGGCCUGUGGAAGCUGUAGCGACGCUCGCGGACGAUGGACAGAUUAUCAUUAAGUGAGGGAGGCUCGCGAGGAUGGAGCGCUGCGUGUGGAAUGAAGACGCGAUGAAACGAAACCGAGGUCGAUGGUCGCAGCCGAUGAUGGCAAGGCGGGAGUUGUUGGCGCAGUGGGAGGGGGGGCGAUACCCUCGCGCACACAAUUAAGUGGAGUAGCACCGCCCUCGUCAGCCAUCUCGGCGGCAGGUCUCUUCUUCAUGCUUCUGCGGACUCCCUAAGUCUCUUCACCGUCCCUCUCUGUACGUUCUCACUGCUGUUUUUCUCCUCCACGGCCACGCCCACGCCCCCUCCUCUCUGUGUGUAUGCGUGAGGAGGGGAGAGGGGCAGUAUGUGAUGAGGACAUCUCCAGCUAACGUUUUUCGCUCCCUCCUUUCCUCUCGUGUGCGUGUUGCCGUUGCUUGUGUGUGUUUCGUGUCUCGUCGUUUGCAAGUAUUUGUUUUGGUUGAUGCUGUGCUAUCAUGUCUCGUGCCACUUUUUAUC